AUACGGAAGGUCCGGGCGUUAUCCGGAUUUAUUGGGUUCAAAGGGAGCGCAGGCGGAGAUGCAAGCGUGACGUCAAAUUUCGGGGCUCAACCCCGUCUCGCGUCGCGAACUGCGUCCCUUGGUUGCGGGAAGGGGAGGCGGAACUCGUGGUGGAGCGGUGAAAUGCAUAGAUAUCACGAAGAACUCCGAUCGCGAAGGCAGCCUUCCGGCCCGUCAACGACGCUCAUGCUCGAAGGUGCAGGUAUCAAACAGGAUUAGAUACCCUGGUAGUCCGCACAGUAAACGAUGGACACCCGCGGUUUGGCCUGUAUGGCUGAGCCGCCAAGCGAAAGCGUUAAGUGUCCCACCUGGGGAGUACGCCGGCAACGGUGAAACUCAAAUGAAUUGACGGGG
rnacentral:rRNA from 1 species